CGGUGUUGAAAAACUGUUUUGACAACAGAUUUACUUUCUAAUUCUUGUUUUUUAUUGACAGUUUUAUAUUGUCUAUUUUUUUUCUACUACAAUUCUAUAUUCAGCAUUAAGAAUUGUGCAUGUACGUUUGAUUAUGUUUGUAUGUUUUUAUUUACAGUUUAAAGAAUAAACAGUAAGAUUAUGUGUUAUUUAUGUGUUUAUUCAAACAAUGCAAAUUAUAAUUUGCAUCACCCAAAGCAAAGGUCACCGCUGUUUUUUGUGGGGUUUGUGUUGCUCAGCUGUUAGUUUACUGUGGUGUGUUUUGUGGACUGCUGUUUGUUUUUCCAUAUUUUUUGCCAGGGUUUGUCAGUUUGGUUUACAUAUUUGAGCUUGGUUGUCUCUUUGGUAGCGUUCGUAUCUCUUUUAUUGUUGUCAGUAAAAAGCCAUCCUUUUAUAUGAAUAAAACAUGACGCCUUUGAAUCACUGAUUUUCUUUUGAAAUAUAGUCCAGUUAAUAUUUCAAACAUUAUUAGGAUUGAUAUUUUUCCCAUAUAAACGUCAAAAUACCUUUUGUGUGUCAAUGAAUUAUAAACUAUCUUUAAAUCUAAAGAUUGUGUCCUCUAUGUUGCUCUUUUUUAUAUUCAAUAUGAGUCUAAAAUAUCGUAGAUUUUUUUGGUCCGAGGAUGUAUAAAGAAAAAAAUAUCGUAUCUCAGCUGACAACCAAUGAGAUUGCAGCAGGGAAAAAAAUUACAUACAUUAUCAAUACUUGAUUUAAUUUAAAAUCACAUUUCAAAUUUAAGGUUUAUAUAAUUAAAAAGAUCGAUCUGAGUCAGUUUUUACUGCCUGGUGUAAAAUUAUCAAAACCUUAUAUACGAGGUUUUUGCAUAACAGCGACGAUAU
rnacentral:lncRNA from 1 species